AAGACUUGAAAAAUAAACGAAAGACAAAAACGCCCCUUACCCCUAUUAACUCUCCAAAACCAAAGAAAUAAAAAGUUCAAAAACCCUUCUACCCUUCUGCGUAUUUCUGGGUUUUCACCCUUCCUCUUGCUUCUCUGGAUUCUCUACCUUGAAGAUAGAUCGAGUAUUCUGAUUGAGUAAUUGAUUUGGAAGCUUGUUUCUGCUGGGAUUUGAGCUUUUCUGACUGUGACUUUGGUUGCAUAAGAAUUAUUUAAUUGGUUUUGCUUUUCCGAAAUAAUUGAAAAUGCCUGACAUACAAGCUCUUGUCAAUGAGUUUGUUAACAAACUUAAGAAACGUAAAAUUGAGGGGUCACAAGCCACGGCAAGACACACAGCAGAAUUGCUUCGUUCAGUUAUAUCCCAACAGAGAAUUCCCUACACAAACCAGGCUGGGGCUCUUAUUAGUGCUAUAAACGCUGUUGGGGAGCAGCUUAUUGCUGCAAACCCUGUUGAGCUUGCUGUUGGCAAUAUUAUCAGGAGGGUGCUGCACAUUAUCCGGGAGGAGGAUUUAUCUCUCACUACUGCGGCUAUAGGUGACCUGAACAUUUCAGUUGGAAGUGAUGAUGAUGAUGAAGAUGGUAAAGAUGAUCAUCCUGUCCUGUCAGCGGCUGCUGUUGCUGCAGCAGCAAGGAACACUUUGCGCCCACCAUCGUUGCAGAAUCUUCUUGAGGAUGUACCUGAUGCUACUGCUGUUCCUCAUACUUCUUCAUCUGGGGGUGAUUCUGAAGGGAAAAGCAAAUCUGCUGAUAAGAGCUCAAGGAGCCGAAAACUAAAGCAUGAUGUCAUUGAAGCAGUUAACGAACUUAUUCAGGAUAUUGCUACUUGCCAUGAGCAGAUUGCUGAACAAGCAGUGGAGCACAUUCAUCAAAAUGAAGUGAUAUUGACUUUGGGCCGCUCAAGAACAGUGAUGGAAUUUCUCUGUGCAGCAAAGGAGAAGAAACGAUCGUUUCGAGUUUUUGUGGCAGAAGGCGCUCCGAGGUACCAAGGGCAUGUUCUUGCCAAAGAAUUAGUGGCUAGAGAUCUGCAGACCACUGUAAUCACCGACUCUGCUGUUUUUGCUAUGAUAUCUCGAGUGAACAUGGUCAUAGUUGGAGCUCAUGCCAUCAUGGCUAAUGGUGGAGUGAUAGCCCCGGUUGGAUUGAAUAUGGUUGCUCUUGCUGCUCAAAGACAUGCUGUCCCAUUCGUGGUAGUUGCCGGAAGUCACAAGUUAUGCCCCUUGUAUCCUCACAAUCCAGAGGUGUUACUCAAUGAGCUGAAAUCCCCUUCUGAUCUGCUGGAUUUUGGAGAGUUCUCGGAUUGUUUGGAUUUUGGAAGUGGCAAUGGUGAACCGCUGCUUCAUGUUGUCAACCCUGCAUUUGAUUACGUGCCACCAAAUCUCGUUAGCCUCUUUAUUACUGACACAGGAGGGCAUAACCCAUCAUAUAUGUACAAGCUGAUUGCGGAAUAUUACUCUGCUGACGAUUUGGUUAUACAACGAAAGUCAGCUGCUGAUAUUUAACGGUAGUCAAUUUGACUGAAUUCGCUACCUAAGUUGAUUAACCAUAUGACAGCGACAAGUAUUUUCAUUGGGAGGGAUAAAUAAUUGUACCAUGUUUAUGUUUGAUACAGACACCAAUUCAUUACAACACUAUAAUAUCCAUUAGCUUGAACCCAAUCACAUUACUCUGAUUAGGGAUUUAAUUAGUAAGAAAAGGGACAUGGGAAGCACUGCAGGCAGGACUCGAUCUUUAGCACUGCAGGCAGGACUGAGUUAGUGAUCUGAAGUGAACUUGCUUGGUUUACUGAUCUGUAUAUAUCUCAUGUGAACACAAGUAUGUGGUAAAAGUCUGAUGAAGUUUAUGUAAAUAUCUUUUCACUUCAAUAUUAGUCAUACUGUUUGGCCUGGCACUGAAGGUUGAUCAUUUCGCUUGAUAACAUACAGCAAAUAUGGGGGAUUAUGUGUCUCCGUCGAGAAAGAGUUGUUAUUUUGUUCAA